AAGGAAUAUUGGUCAAUGGAGGGAACUCUGAACCAGCCAUGCCGCGUGCAGGACGACUGCCCUCUGGGUUGUAAACUGCUUUUAUACGGGAAUAACCCACUCUACGUGUAGGGUGUUGAAUGUACCGUAAGAAUAAGGAUCGGCUAACUCCGUGCCAGCAGCCGCGGUAAUACGGAGGAUCCAAGCGUUAUCCGGAUUUAUUGGGUUUAAAGGGUGCGUAGGCGGCCUUAUAAGUCAGGGGUGAAAGACGGUAGCUUAACUAUCGCAGUGCCUUUGAAACUAUAUGGCUUGAAUGUACUUGAGGUGGGCGGAAUGUGACAAGUAGCGGUGAAAUGCAUAGAUAUGUCACAGAACCCCGAUUGCGAAGGCAGCUCACUAAAGUAUGAUUGACGCUGAUGCACGAAAGCGUGGGGAUCAAAC
rnacentral:rRNA from 1 species